rnacentral:lncRNA from 1 species
CCUCAAAAACAUUCUUCCUUGGUCCCCACUUAUACUCAGUUUCAUUUUUCAAGGCGGAUUGCAAGGUUCGUGUAAAGCUCACAGCUGCAAUGAAGUCACUGACAAAUCUGUGAAUUACCCUGAGUGCAAAGACAAGCUAGUUCAUUUAUAAACAGCCCUUAGAAUAAUAGUAAACUAAACUGCAGGUGGGAAACCUUCAUAAGAUAAAAACUCAGACACACUGUCCCUUCUUGGAAAGCCCUGGAUAAGAAGUAAACAAUGCCAACAAGUCCCUUAGUGACUUGUCACUCCACUUAAAAUGGCCUUUAUUAAGAGUGAUGACCUCCGCCUUAACUGUAAGACCAACCAACUCAAAUGUAAGUCAAGAACAAGAACAUAUUUCCUUGCAGGGGAUUCUGUGCAAACUCAUAGAUGAUUUGCACCUCUGUGAAAGGUCAUGGCUAGGAGGCCAGGUUGAGGAAACUUGAACAGCUAAAGUACACCCAGGCUGUCUGCUAACUACCUGCAUCCUAAUUACCUGUCUGCUAUCGCUGUGUGACGUGCAGAGCCAUGAGAUAGGAUCUGUCUUCAUUUACAGAUCAUAAAAAAACAAAGCUUUAGACAGGUUAAGUAGCUUGCCCAAUGAAAGCAAUUUCUUCUGACCCUUGUGCACAAUUAUGUCCACAGGAGAACACCAUAUACAUAUAUUGCCCAACCUUUGAACACCAUUUACUCAAGAAUGGCUUUCCUUUCCCUGCCAUGCACAGGCAGGCUUGUGGUUAGCCAGUCCUUUCUGGUCAGUGUGGAUAUAUCUGCUGGGUUCAGGGGUGUAGGGUUAGGGAUCUCACUGUUUCCGCACACCAAAACUGUUCUCCAACAGCUCAGUCAAUAAAAACAGCUGAUAUCGGGGCAGGGGUGGAGUUCUUGGUUCAGGACUCUUCUAAUGUCCUGGACUGCAGAAAAGCCCUUGCCCUUACCCUGGAUAAAUACCUGAGAAUGCUUGUCUCCUUCCCACUCUGUAGGCACUCUUGUCCUCUCCAUUCCCUUCCUUGCCUCCUGAGGAGCUUCUGUGGCCCUGGGCUGAUGUGGGGAAGGGAGAAGGGUCCCCUGCACCCCUGGGAUGGGAACAUGAAUGAGUCUGCCCACCAACCCCUAAGAAAUAUGCAUACCUGUGCUCAAAUUAUGGGGCCAUCAGUUCUGCUAGUCUCAGAGCCCCCUAGGGAGGGCGACCCAGCUUUUACUGGACACCCAGGGACUUUCCCUGGAACCUGCUGUUGUGAGCGUUUCUGAGGUGUAGACAAACAGCUCCCCCACACACCUAGCCAACAACCCACUCUCAAGGUGGGAAACACCAUUCUAAGGACUCGCAUUAACCCAUCUGGAUAACCCUGGGUAAUCUGGAGCAGAGGUCGAAACCACUGAAUGGCUCAGGUACGGUAGAAAAUGCCUCUGAUUGAUUGUUUUGGACAUCGCUGCUAUUGCAACAGAGAAAGAUCAAGCCCCAUCACCUAGAAGGGAUUUCAUUCUUUGCAACAGGAAAGAUAGUUCAGAAUCCAGCGCCAAUUAUUCCCAGAAAAAAAAUACCAUUUGAAACAUUACAAAUGAAAUUGAGUUAUAUAAACCCCCUUCCUCAUCCCUUCCAAGGAGGGUGGAUUCUGCGGAUAUCAAGGGUGACUGUGGCAGACUGGAAGGGUGGGAAAGAGAUCAAAUUAGAGAAAACCAAGGGAAGAGCAACUGCCAGCCACCUAGGAAAAAGGAGAGAGGCCUAGGUGACAGGACCCCGAGUUGGAGAGAAAGACACACAGAGGGGUGAGUCAGAGGAAAGCUACAGAAGGGUGUGCUGGGGACAGGCGUCAAGAGGUGAGGCUGCCUCAGGGAGAGGAAGCACGGGAGGAGACCUGGCCCAGGAGAGUUUCAGAGGCUCCUCCCAGCAGCGUGCAGUAGUACCUCCUCCCCCAAGAAAUCAGGAUUGUGCAGGAAACACUCUCCUACUUCUCAGUGGCCACUGGAGAGCUCUGAACCCAGCCCAGGGUCAACUGCCCGGCACUGUCAGGCAGUUCCUCUGACUCCACAGCACAUUCUAAUUGCAGUCACUGAAAAGGAAAUCAGGACACAGACAUGAGCACGUACAGAGAAAAGACUGUGCCAGGAGCAGGCUGCCAUCUGCAAGCCAAGGAGAGAGCUCUCAGAAAAAAACGAUCUUGCCGACACCUUCCUUUUGCACUUCCAGCCUCCAGGACUGUAAGAAAAGAAAUUUCUGUUGUUUAAGCCACCAAGUAGUAUUUCGUUAUAGCAGUCCAAGCAAACUAAUGCACAUAUCAAAACUACUUUAGUUUUUCCACUUUGUUGCAAACAAUUGCAAGUUGUCCAGGUUUUCUGUCUUCCCCCAGCCUGCAAGUGCUCAGAGGACACCCAACCCUAUGAUCUCAGCCAACUCAUGAAGUUUGAUUUCACAACUUAGUGAUGUCUUCCCAGUGGAAUCCUAAAUGAUAAGGAAAAUGGUAUAGAGCCAAGACUUGAACAUUAACAACCCAGGAGCACAGAAACAGCACAGUUAGCUGAGAGGCGUUAUGGAGAGAAGCAACCGAAUGCACACUGAGCGCUGUGAGAAGUCCACGACAGUGGGGAACAGCGCCCACCGUCACAAAAAGAAAGACCCUCGGCAGGUUGACUGCUCAUCCAUUAGCAGCAGAUGUCUCUUGAGUAGCUGAACCACACCAAGCUGGACCUGGGACUUGAGAAGCCCCCUUCAACCUCUGUCAGGACGCACGCUGGAUUAGCAUCUGCUAGGGCUGCCGUAAGAAAGUACCAAAAAAUAAGUGGCUUAAACAAUAAAAUAUUGUCUC